rfam:Glomerella graminicola M1.001 genomic scaffold supercont1.43, whole genome shotgun sequence.
GGCCGGUUGGCCCAAUGGCAAGGCGUCUGACUACGAUUCAUCGAGUCAUCAGGAGAUUCUGGGUUCGACCCCCAGGCUGGUCA